rnacentral:rRNA from 1 species
AGAGUUUGAUCCUGGCUCAGAACGAACGCUGGCGGCAUGCCUAACACAUGCAAGUCGAACGAACCCUUCGGGGUUAGUGGCGCACGGGUGCGUAACGCGUGGGAAUCUGCCCUUAGGUACGGAAUAACAGUGAGAAAUUACUGCUAAUACCGUAUGAUGUCUUCGGACCAAAGAUUUAUCGCCUAGGGAUGAGCCCGCGUAGGAUUAGCUAGUUGGUGAGGUAAAGGCUCACCAAGGCUACGAUCCUUAGCUGGUCUGAGAGGAUGAUCAGCCACACUGGGACUGAGACACGGCCCAGACUCCUACGGGAGGCAGCAGUGGGGAAUAUUGGACAAUGGGCGAAAGCCUGAUCCAGCAAUGCCGCGUGAGUGAAGAAGGCCUUCGGGUUGUAAAGUUCUUUUACCCGGGAAGAUAAUGACCGUACCGGGAGAAUAAGCCCCGGCUAACUCCGUGCCAGCAGCCGCGGUAAUACGGAGGGGGCUAGCGUUGUUCGGAAUCACUGGGCGUAAAGCGUGCGUAGGCGGCCAUUCAAGUCAGAGGUGAAAGCCCAGGGCUCAACCCUGGAACUGCCUUUGAAACUAGAUGGCUGGAACACGGGAGAGGUGAGUGGAAUUCCGAGUGUAGAGGUGAAAUUCGUAGAUAUUCGGAAGAACACCAGUGGCGAAGGCGGCUCACUGGACCGUUGUUGACGCUGAGGCACGAAAGCGUGGGGGAGCAAACAGGAUUAGAUACCCUGGUAGUCCACGCCGUAAACGAUGAUAACUAGCUGUUGGGGCUCUUGGAGCUCCAGUGGCGCAGCUAACGCAUUAAGUUAUCCGCCUGGGGAGUACGGCCGCAAGGUUAAAACUCAAAGGAAUUGACGG